rnacentral:rRNA from 1 species
GAGUUUGAUCAUGGCUCAGAUUGAACGCUGGCGGCAUGCUUUACACAUGCAAGUCGAACGGUAACAGGGAGCUUGCUCCGCUGACGAGUGGCGAACGGGUGAGUAAUACAUCGGAAUGUACCCAGUCAUGGGGGAUAACGCUUCGAAAGGAGUGCUAAUACCGCAUACGCCCUGAGGGGGAAAGUGGGGGAUGCGCAAGCACCUCACGUGAUUGGAGCAGCCGAUGGCUGAUUAGCUAGUUGGUAGGGCAAAGGCCUACCAAGGCAACGAUCAGUAGCGGGUC